AGUCCUAACAGUGCAGAAAGCUCGGAACCCACUGAGAGUGAUCUUAUAGACCAUUCUGAUCUCCAUAUCUUGGACUUCUCCCCUUCACUGACAACACUAUGUAAACUUUGUAUAUUAGAAAACAAAAUAGAUGUCAGCAGUCUGCCUAAAACAAUCAGGUGGGAAUUGGCGGUGAUGUCAACUAACAACUCCAUUACCAGGCCCCUCAACAGCAAUGGCUGAUCUGUCGCAGAGUGUGCAUUUAUAUGUGAUUUUAUUUCCUACUGAUUCUCAUUGACAUGGAAUUUACACUCAACAUUGCUAGCCACUCCAGCUACAAAGAAGCCCCCAUAUUGCCCGGGGGAAGGAACGUCCUCCUGCAUGCUCAGGAUUUCUAGCUUUGUAACAUUGAAUAAUCUAUCAUCAAUCUAAAUUACUGGCAGCAGUGUAUGAUUUCUGCGAUUUGCUAAUGGCGAUGAACAGAACUAUGAUUCUCCAAAGACUUGCAAGGUAUUGGUAUUUUGAAAAUCUACAUGGAAGAGACUGAAGAAUUCUUCACUGGCUGAAAAUGGAAGGAAUUGAUUUUAAAAGAUGUUCUUCUUUUUUUUUUGGUCGAUUUCUUACCAAAUGGAUCUUGAGUCAACAGAGGCUCACUGAUUGUGAAUUUUGUAUAAUACUGUAUCAAGUCUCUGAUUAUAACCUGUGUCUAUUUAUAUAUUGACUGGCAGUGAUGUUGUGCAUCACAUUAAUUUCAUAGCGCUGAGUAAUAAAGCAUUCAAUACAACA
rnacentral:misc_RNA from 1 species